rnacentral:lncRNA from 1 species
CUUUAUUUGGGGAAGUUUAUGUGUCACAUGAGAUAAGUAAAGUCCUUAACAGUGCACAUGCUUACAUUUUAAACAUGUUUUUAGUAUAGGUUAUAUGCAUGAUUAAAAUAAAGCAUGUUUUAUGGUACUGGACCAGUUAUUUCCCAGUGUUUUUAGCAUGUAACUCUUUAAAAACGUCUUGACUGCGAUUCCUUUAGAAUUCAGUCCUACUGAAUUCACUUGAAAUGGGACGGCAGCCAACAAAAGGACGCGAAAGUUGUCUUUUUAUCCCCUUUAAACUGCUUUUAUUUAUGAUGUGGUGGUUUGUAAAAGCGAUCUUGCAGGCAGACACAACACAAACGCCCGGUUUGUUAUUGAAACGUAUCCUGGGAGGUGGGCCCUGUAUGCAGUUACAGUGGGAGAGGUGGAGCCUAAGCCACGCCCAGUCCAGUCACAACUCAAUCACACAAAACAAGUACGUUGCUGUUAUUCUUUUUCUGUUUGUCCACAACUUCUUCUUAGUCAGGCUUUUUAAUACUGAACAUCACCUGUGUCACUCCCAAUAACAGCACGUGUUUAUUGUGGACUGAUUUGCUUUUUUCGGGGUUAAUUUUUGUGUGUUAUCCGAACAUUUCAUUACAGAAGGGAAUGCGGUACGGAAGCUGAGGGAAAAAAACGCACAGAAAAAAGAGCCUCAAGUCACCUCUCUGCUCUUUCUCUGCAGGACAUGUCGCUUGUGUUUUUGAUGUUUUCCAUUGUCUUCUUCGGCUCAUCCUCUGGUAUACAAACUGAUGAGGUGUGCUAUGGCAGGAGGUGGCAGUUUCCAUCUAAUUAUACACCCUUACGUUAUACUGGACCGAUAUACUUUACUCAAAGUAAUGGAGGAUCCGUGAAAGUUGUUAUAAACAAUGGGAUGGCAAUAGACGGACGCUUCAGAGUCUCUCUUGGCGCAAUUUAUGUUACAAAUGUGACAGAAAGAGAUGAAGGAAUUUAUUCUGUCUCAUCUGGUGGCCACCAGCGACACAGUGUUGUUGAACUGAAAGUCUUGGAAUGUGCCGAAAAGGUCACAAGGAAUUACUACUAUACGUGGGAGUACUCGAUCCCUAGACGGGCUGAAAUCCUGGAGUUUACUCCCCUUCACAGUCCGGACCAGCCAAAGAUCCUGUGGAAUCGCACAGACUCUCAGAUCAGAGAAAGCAGAGCUGAGGUGAGAAACGGUAAUUGGCAGCUGUCUUACCUCACUCAUGCAGACAGUGGCUACUACAACUUCAGGGAUAAGGACCACUCUGUGUUGGCCAGGGUGCUGCUCAAAGUACAAGAACAAACCAGACACUAUGAAACAAAGUGGAAUGAGUACCUCGUCAUUGAAUACCCUCGGGGUGCUAAGAAGUGGACCAUGACUUUUACACCUGAGGGGAAAAUGGAACCCAAAACACUGAUGGAUGGCAGUCUGAUCAUAAAAGAUAAUCAUUUUUCUGGCAGAAUUCGUGCAGUGAUAGAUGGCAUAGUAAUCGAUCCUGCCGAAAUUGGAGACUCUGGCACCUUUGAGUUCAGAGACCCAGAAGGCAACCUGAUCUUGAGUGCUCAGCUUGAAGUGAUCCCUGAAAUGUUGCCACAGAUUAUAUUUAUGGUUGUGACUGUCUUGAUUGUCAUCUUGGUGAUGGUCUGCUGUUGCUGUUGUUGUAAAAAGUGCUGUAAAAGGGACAAGUCUGCUCCUCAGACUGCAGCCUCACCUGCACCUGCUGUAUAUUAUCAUAAUGAGAAUGAACCUGCAUGCCCAAGCUACUCACAUCCUUCAGCUUUGUCUUAUCAGCCUGUGAAUUCUCAUGUUUCUACACAGCCUUCAGCUACCUCCUCUGAGCCACCGAUGUACCACAAAGUGAAUAUCCAUGAGAGCCCUGCUCAGCCUGAGGUUGCAGUACCUGGAAAGCAGGCUUCCACUCCAGAUCCCUCGGUCGGCCCAGACUUCCUCUUGUCAGACCCAGAGCCGCGAUUUGAACUGAAAGGAUUAGACAUGCCUUUUGCACCAUCUCUUACUUCAGACACAACUAUCUGUGAUGUUUAUAACUCAGACAAACUAAACUUUCUGUAAAUAGCAUGCUGAAAAUUCAGGUAGAGUUCAUUCCACUUUUUCCAUUUUCAUCUUUGCAAAGCUAUUGUCAUACAUGCACAGGAAAAAGGCCAUGCAGACAGAUGUUAAUCGCACUGUGUUGAUACAUUAUCAGUUUUUUAUCUUUCACACCAAGAUGUACUGUUAUAAAAUGUAUGGAUUCCAAUUAUAUUUUUUCAGUUAACAAGAUUGCUUGUAAGUUUGUAAAGUCGUGUCUUGAAAACAGUUUGGUUCUGGGAAAGCUUUGAAUUUUUUUUUUCUUCCUAAUUUAUCCUCAGGUACAAGAACAUAAAUCUCACUCAGUGUUGUCCUCAAAAUGCCCUGUUACAUCUCCAGCAGCUGAAGUGUGAACUACGGAAUCAGGGUUUUAUUAUAUUGUGGAAUAUAAAUGCAUAUGCUGUAAAUUAGAAUUGUUAUUUGCAUGUAGUGUCUACUUUGCUUCUCUCCACGGAGCUAAGGAUAUUUACUGAAUAACAGAUAAUGCAAUCCAGUAUAAUGGCAAAGCAUGUAAUACGCUUUGCCAUUGAUAUCGGACUAGAUAAUGUUGCUAGCUUUAGCUUGUAUGGGUAUUUUCUACCUCUGUCAUGUGCAUUCAGCUCCAUACAUCACUUGUUUGUGGCUUUUAUUGUUGCGUUUUGAGGGAUGUUGGGCAAUUUUUAAAAGUGGCUUUUUAUAUUGUUUAAUUCUCAAAUGCAAUACAAGUAUAACUGUGGUUCUGUAUAUCUUUAAACAGAAGCUUGUAUAAAAGUUUUAUCGGGCAUUGAAAAACAUGUAUUGUUUAUAUAAUAUAUGUAAAAUUCUGAUAGUUGUUUGCAUUGCAUGAAGAUGUCCGAAUAUGGAAUCAGUGUAAUGAUUUGAAAAAGACCUUAAAGAGCUUACAUAAAUUUUUAAACUGUCCCUUUGUCUCGCUCCCUCUUUCUGUCUCACUCUCUCUCUCUAACACACACACACACACACACACACACACACACACACACACACACACACACACACACACGCACACACACGCACACGCGCGCGGACACAGUGGAAUGACAACACCACUACUUCUUACAUUUUAAAAAAUCUAAAUGGAAGAGCCCCUUAAAAUUUGCAUGGAAACUAGAGGGUUAGGCAUUUUUUAACAUUACAAUCAGCAUUACAGUUGUAAUAGCUUCUAAUGCAACUGUAAGUCAUUUAAUUAUAACAGCAUUUGUAUGUUGACAGACAUUUAAAAAAGCUGGUUUUGGAGAGUCUGCUACUAUGCAGCUCUUAUAGCAAGUUGAUGUGCAGAUGUUAAUUCCUGCAGUGGAUGUUCCUUUGCCUACAUGCAUGUAGUUUAAGUAAUUGCUUUGUGUUAUCAUAUUUCGUAGAUAAAUAUAAAUUGGUGUCAUCUGCAUAGCAAUGAAAAUGCAUGUGUUUUCUAAUAAUAUUGCAUGAGGGGAAACAUAUAAUGUAAAAAGUAUUGGUUCUAGGACAGAACUCUGUGGAACUCCAUGAAAAAUUCUUUAACUUACAUUAAUACUACCUGUCUACCUGUUCAUUCCUGGUCCAUUCCUGGUAUAAAGCCUGAGAAUAACUGCUAUGGCAUGGGGUUAAACUUUUCAUCUGAUUAUAUACAUAUUAUUUAUUAUGGACCAGUACAGUUCACUCCAAAUAAAGGAGGCUCCUCAAAAUUUGAGGUAAAUGUUUGGAGGUAAGCUGCUCCACGUGCUGUGUGACCAUGUCUGGUCUUAAUGAGAAUUAAACUAUCCUGCAUCAACCAAUCUGUUUGAUAAUAGAUUUGUUUAGAUAGACUUUUCCACUUGAAGUACUUUUUUCUACUGUUUUUGUACAUAAGUGCUUUCUAUCUAGCAUUCACACUUAUCAUAUCGGUGAGUAACUUGGGGUUCAGUAUCCCAAGAAUCCUUUGGCAUGCUGAUUGUAACAGCCAGGGAUUGAAGCACCAACCUUCUGAUUAGUGGAUGACCUGCUCUACCUCCAGAGCCCUGUUACUUGUGCAUUUCUAAAUACAAGUUCACUCUGUUUUUUGUUGUUGUUUAAAAAAAAAAUAAAAAAUUCUA